GGGGAUUUAGCUCAGCGGCAUAAGCGCCUGCCUUGCAAGCAGGCAGUUGUGAGUUCAAUCCCUA
rfam:Cavia porcellus supercont2_5 genomic scaffold, whole genome shotgun sequence.